ACCCGGCUGACGAGUGCUAUAUAGGACGAAACGCACGUUCUGGAU
rnacentral:hammerhead_ribozyme from 1 species